rnacentral:rRNA from 1 species
UGCCAGCCGCCGCGGUAACACGGGAGGCGCAAGCGUUAUUCGGAAUUAUUGGGCGUAAAGGGCGCGCAGGCGGUCUUGUCCGUCAGAUGUGAAAGUCCACGGCUCAACCGUGGAAGUGCAUUUGAAACUGGGAGGCUUGAGUAUUGGAGGGGGUGGUGGAAUUCCCGGUGUAGAGGUGAAAUUCGUAGAUAUCGGGAGGAACACCGGUGGCGAAGGCGACCACCUGGCCAGAUACUGACGCUGAGGUGCGAAAGCGUGGGGAGCAAACAGGAUUAGAUA